rnacentral:rRNA from 1 species
UGGGUAACCUGCCUCAAAGAGGGGAAUAGCCUCCCGAAAGGGAGAUUAAUACCGCAUAAUAUGUUUAAGUCGCAUGACUUUAACACCAAAGGAUUUUCUUUUAGAAAUUCCACUUUGAGAUGGACCCGCGGCGCAUUAGCUAGUUGGUGAGGUAAUGGCUCACCAAGGCGACGACGGGUAGCCGGCCUGAGAGGGCGAUCGGCCACACUGGGACUGAGACACGGUCCAGACUCCUACGGGAGGNAG